rnacentral:rRNA from 1 species
GACGAACGCUGGCGGCGUGCUUAACACAUGCAAGUCGAACGGAGUGGCGAACGGGUGAGUAACACGUGGGUGAUCUUCCCUGCACUUCGGGAUAAGCUUGGGAAACUGGGCUUAAUACCGGAUAGUGCAUGAUGGGCUCGCGGCCAAUCAGCUUGUUGGUGGGGUAAUGGCCUACCAAGGCGUCGACGGGUAGCCGACCUGAGAGGGUGUACGGCCACAUUGGGACUGAGGUACGGCCCAGACUCCUACGGGAGGCAGCGGUGGGAAGUAUUGCGCAGUGGGCGGAAGCCUGAUGGAGUGACGCCGCGUGGGGAAUGAAGGCCUUCGGGUUGUAAACUCCUUUCGGCAGGGACGCGGUACCUGUAUAAGAAGCACCGGCUAACUACGUGCCAGCAGCCGCGGUAAUGC